rnacentral:rRNA from 1 species
UAAAGCCAAACACUUCCCCGGCUGUUAUACGCUCCCGGAAAUAACGAAGCCCAAACGCGAAAGCAGCUUUAUGUCAUAAGCCUGACCCCACGAAAGCUAAGAUACAAACUGGGAUUAGAUACCCCACUAUGCCUAGCCAUAAACUUAAAUGAAAUUAUACUAAACUCAUUCGCCAGAGUACUACAAGCGAAAGCUUAAAACUCAAAGGACUUGGCGGUGUUUCAGACCCACCUAGAGGAGCCUGUUCUAGAACCGAUAAUACUCGUUUAACCUCACCACUUCUUGUUUCCCCAGCCUAUAUACCGCCGUCGUCAGCUUACCCUGUGAAGGCCAAAAAGUAAGCAAAAUGGGCACAACCCAAAACGUCAGGCCGAGGUGUAGCGCACGAAGUGGGAAGAAAUGGGCUACAUUUUCUAAUAAUAGAAUACUACGCACGACGCACUGAAACGUGCAUCUUAAAGGUGGAUUUAGUAGUAAAAAGCAAAUAGAGUGUCCUUUUGAAUCUGGCUCUGAAACGCGCACACACCGCCCGUCACCC